AACGAACGCUGGCGGCGCGCCUAAUACAUGCAAGUCGAGCGAGAAGACGUAGCAAUACGUUUGUAAAGCGGCGAACGGGUGAGGAAUACAUGGGUAACCUACCCUCGAGUGGGGAAGUAACUAGCCGAAAGGUUAGCUAAUACCGCGUACGCUCCUUGGACUUCGGUUCAGGGAGGAAAGACGAUACCGUGGGUAUCGCGCUCUUGGAUGGGCUCAUGUCCUAUCAGCUUGUUGGUGAGGUAACGGCUCACCAAGGCUUCGACGGGUAGCUGGUCUGAGAGGACGAUCAGCCACACUGGCACUGCGACACGGGCCAGACUCCUACGGGAGGCAGCAGUAAGGAAUAUUGCGCAAUGGGCGAAAGCCUGACGCAGCGACGCCGC
rnacentral:rRNA from 1 species